CCUACGGGAGGCAGCAGUGAGGAAUAUUGGUCAAUGGGAGAGAUCCUGAACCAGCCAAGCCGCGUGAGGGAAGACGGCCCUAUGGGUUGUAAACCUCUUUUGUCGGAGAACAAAACCCGGGACGUGUCCCGGACUGCGUGUAUCCGAAGAAAAAGCAUCGGCUAACUCCGUGCCAGCAGCCGCGGUAAUACGGAGGAUGCGAGCGUUAUCCGGAUUUAUUGGGUUUAAAGGGUGCGUAGGCGGUCCGUUAAGUCAGCGGUAAAAUUGCGGGGCUCAACCCCGUCGAGCCGUUGAAACUGGCAGACUUGAGUUGGCGAGAAGUAAGCGGAAUGCGCGGUGUAGCGGUGAAAUGCAUAGAUAUAGCGAAGAACACCGAUUGCGAAGGCAGCGUACUGGCGCCAGACUGACGCUGAGGCACGAAAGCGUGGGGAUCGAACAGGAUUAGAUACCCGGGUAGUC
rnacentral:rRNA from 1 species